AUUGAACGCUGGCGGCAGGCUUAACACAUGCAAGUCGAGCGGAGUGAUGGUGCUUGCACUAUCACUUAGCGGCGGACGGGUGAGUAAUGCUUAGGAAUCUGCCAUUUAGUGGGGGACAACAUUCCGAAAGGAAUGCUAAUACCGCAUACGUCCUACGGGAGAAAGCAGGGGAUCUUCGGACCUUGCGCUAAAUGAUGAGCCUAAGUCGGAUCAGCUAGUUGGUGGGGUAAAGGCCUACCAAGGCGACGAUCUGUAGCGGGUCUGAGAGGAUGAUCCGCCACACUGGGACUGAGACACGGCCCAGACUCCUACGGGAGGCAGCAGUGGGGAAUAUUGGACAAUGGGCGGAAGCCUGAUCCAGCCAUGCCGCGUGUGUGAAGAAGGCCUUUUGGUUGUAAAGCACUUUAAGCGAGGAGGAGGCUCUCCUAGUUAAUACCUAGGAAGAGUGGACGUUACUCGCAGAAUAAGCACCGGCUAACUCUGUGCCAGCAGCCGCCGUAACAC
rnacentral:rRNA from 1 species